rnacentral:rRNA from 1 species
GGGGGGGGGGGGGGGGGGGGGGGGGGGGGGGGGGGCGGGCGGCAGGGCGGGGGGGGCGGGCUCGGGCGGGUGGCGAGGGGCGGACGGGUGAGGAAUACAUCGGAAUCUACUUUUUCGUGGGGGAUAACGUAGGGAAACUUACGCUAAUACCGCAUACGACCUACGGGUGAAAGCAGGGGAUCUUCGGACCUUGCGCGAUUGAAUGAGCCGAUGUCGGAUUAGCUAGUUGGCGGGGUAAAGGCCCACCAAGGCGACGAUCCGUAGCUGGUCUGAGAGGAUGAUCAGCCACACUGGAACUGCGACACGGUCCAGACUCCUACGGGAGGCAGCAGUGGGGAAUAUUGGACAAUGGGCGCAAGCCUGACCCAGCCAUACCGCGUGGGUGAAGAAGGCCUUCGGGUUGUAAAGCCCUUUUGUUGGGAAAGAAAAGCAGCAGGUUAAUACCCCGCUGUUCUGACGGUACCCAAAGAAUAAGCACCGGCUAACUUCGUG